rnacentral:rRNA from 1 species
UACGUAGGGGGCAAGCGUUGUUCGGAAUUACUGGGCGUAAAGCGUGCGCAGGCGGUUGUGCAAGACAGAUGUGAAAUCCCCGGGCUUAACCUGGGAACUGCAUUUGUGACUGCACGGCUGGAGUGCGGCAGAGGGGGAUGGAAUUCCGCGUGUAGCAGUGAAAUGCGUAGAUAUGCGGAGGAACACCGAUGGCGAAGGCAAUCCCCUGGGCCUGCACUGACGCUCAUGCACGAAAGCGUGGGGAGCAAACAGG